rnacentral:rRNA from 1 species
GACGAACGCUGGCGGCGUGCUUAACACAUGCAAGUCGAACGGAAAGGCCCCUUUGGGGGUACUCGAGUGGCGAACGGGUGAGUAACACGUGAGUAACCUGCCCUUGACUUCGGGAUAACUUCAGGAAACUGGGGCUAAUACCGGAUAGGAAUCCUUGCUGCAUGGUGGGGGUUGGAAAGCUUCGGCGGUUUUGGAUGGACUCACGGCUUAUCAGCUUGUUGGUGGGGUAGUGGCUUACCAAGGCUUUGACGGGUAGCCGGCCUGAGAGGGCGACCGGCCACAUUGGGACUGAGAUACGGCCCAGACUCCUACGGGAGGCAGCAGUGGGGAAUAUUGCACAAUGGGCGGAAGCCUGAUGCAGCAACGCCGCGUGCGGGAUGACGGCCUUCGGGUUGUAAACCGCUUUCAGCAGGGGCGAAGCUUGUGGUGACGGUACCUGCAGAAGAAGCACCGACUAACUACGUG